CACGGGGGGAGCAAGCGUUGUUCGGAAUCACUGGGCGUAAAGGGCGUGUAGGCGGUUCGGUAAGUGAGAUGUGAAAUCCUCCGGCUCACCCGGAGACCUGCAUCUCAAACUGCCGGACUAGAGUAUGGGAGAGGACAAGGGAAUUCCUGGUGUAGCGGUGAAAUGCGUAGAUAUCGUAAGGAAGACCAGUGGCGAAGGCGGGUCUCUGGACAGUUCCUGACGCUGAGGCACGAAGGUCAGGGGAGCAAACGGG
rnacentral:rRNA from 1 species